GACGAACGCUGGCGGCGUGCUUAACACAUGCAAGUCGAACGGAAAGGCCCUGCUUUUGUGGGGUGCUUGAGUGGCGAACGGGUGAGUAAAACGUGUGUAAACUGCACUUGUCUUUGGGAUAACUUCAGGAAACUGGGGCUAAUACCGGAUAGGAGCUCCUGCUGCAUGGUGGGGGUUGGAAAGUUUCGGCGGUUGGGGAUGGACUGGCGGCUUAUGAGCUUGUUGGUGGGGUAGUGGCUUACCAAGGCUUUGACGGGUAGCCGGCCUGAGAGGGUGGCCGGCCACAUUGGGACUGAGGUACGGCGCAGUCUCCAACGGUAGGCAGCAGUGGGGAAUAUUGCACAGUGGGCGGAAGCGUGAUGCAGCAGCGCCGCGUGCGGAAUGACGGCCUUCGGGUUGUAAACCGCUGUCGCCUUUGACGAAGCGUGAGUGACGGUAAUGAGUAAAGAAGCACCGGCUAACUACGUG
rnacentral:rRNA from 1 species